rnacentral:sRNA from 1 species
CCGCAUGAGACAAAACUCAUGAAAAGGC